GUUAUAUGGUCAAGCGAAUAAGCGCACACGGUGGAUGCCUAGGCGGUCAGAGGCGAUGAAGGACGUGGUAGCCUGCGAAAAGUGUCGGGGAGCUGGCAACAAGCUUUGAUCCGGCAAUAUCCGAAUGGGGAAACCCACUGCUUCGGCAGUAUCCUGCAGUGAAUUCAUAGCUGCUGGAAGCGAACCCGGUGAACUGAAAUAUCUAAGUAACCGGAGGAAAAGAAAUCAACCGAGAUUCCCUAAGUAGUGACGAGCGAACGGGGAGCAGCCCUUAAGCUGGAAUGGCUUUAGAAAAACAAUCUGGAAAGAUUGGCCAUAGAAGGUGAUAGCCCUGUAUUUAAAAGGGCCACUCCAGUGAAGACGAGUAGGGCGGGGCACGUGAAACCCUGUCUGAAUAUGGGGGGACCAUCCUCCAAGGCUAAAUACUCCUGACCGACCGAUAGUGAACCAGUACCGUGAGGGAAAGGCGAAAAGAACCCCGGAGAGGGGAGUGAAAUAGAUCCUGAAACCGUGUGCGUACAAGCAGUAGGAGCUCGCAAGAGUGACUGCGUACCUUUUGUAUAAUGGGUCAGCGACUUACUGUUCGUGGCAAGCUUAACCGUAUAGGGGAGGCGAAGGGAAACCGAGUCUGAUAAGGGCGCAUAGUCGCGGGCAGUAGACCCGAAACCGGGUGAUCUAGUCAUGGCCAGGGUGAAGGUGCCGUAACAGGUACUGGAGGCCCGAACCCACGUCUGUUGCAAAAGACGGGGAUGAGCUGUGAUUAGGAGUGAAAAGCUAAUCGAACCCGGAGAUAGCUGGUUCUCCUCGAAAGCUAUUUAGGUAGCGCCUCGGACGAAUACUACUGGGGGUAGAGCACUGUUAUGGCUAGGGGGUCAUCGCGACUUACCAAACCAUUGCAAACUCCGAAUACCAGUACGUACUAUCCGGGAGACACACGGCGGGUGCUAACGUCCGUCGUGAAAAGGGAAACAACCCAGACCCACAGCUAAGGUCCCAAAUUCACUGCUAAGUGGAAAACGAUGUGGAAAGGCAUAGACAGCCAGGAGGUUGGCUUAGAAGCAGCCACCCUUUAAAGAAAGCGUAAUAGCUCACUGGUCGAGUCGGUCUGCGCGGAAGAUUUAACGGGGCUAAGCAGUGAACCGAAGCUUGGGGUGCGUAAAACUUCGGUUUUAUGCGCGGUAGAGGAGCGUUCCGUAAGCCUGCGAAGGUGGAUUGAGAAGUCCGCUGGAGGUAUCGGAAGUGCGAAUGCUGACAUGAGUAACGAUAAUGCGGGUGAAAAGCCCGCACGCCGAAAGCCCAAGGUUUCCUUGCGCAACGUUAAUCGACGCAGGGUUAGUCGGUCCCUAAGGCGAGGGCGAAAGCCGUAGUCGAUGGGAAGCAGGUUAAUAUUCCUGCACCUCGCGUGAGUGCGAUGGAGGGACGGAGAAGGUUAGGUGUACCGGGCGUUGGUUGUCCCGGGGAAAGGCGGUAGGUUUGGAUCUUUGGCAAAUCCGGGAUCCUUUAAGACCGAGCACCGAGACGAGCCUUUAUGGCGAAGUCACUGAUACCACGCUUCCAGGAAAAGCUCCUAAGCUUCAGCUCACGAAGACCGUACCGUAAACCGACACAGGUGGGUAGGAUGAGAAUUCUCAGGCGCUUGAGAGAACUCGGGUGAAGGAACUAGGCAACAUGGCACCGUAACUUCGGGAGAAGGUGCACCCUUUUUGGUGGCUCAUGCGAGCUAUAGCUGAAGAGGGUCGCAGAAACCAGGCCGCUGCGACUGUUUAUCAAAAACACAGCACUCUGCAAACACGAAAGUGGACGUAUAGGGUGUGACGCCUGCCCGGUGCUGGAAGGUUAAUUGAUGGGGUCAGCCGCAAGGCGAAGCUCUUGAUCGAAGCCCCAGUAAACGGCGGCCGUAACUAUAACGGUCCUAAGGUAGCGAAAUUCCUUGUCGGGUAAGUUCCGACCUGCACGAAUGGCGUAACGACAGCGGCGCUGUCUCCACCCGAGACUCAGUGAAAUUGAAAUCGCUGUGAAGAUGCAGCGUCCCCGUGGCAAGACGGAAAGACCCCGUGAACCUUUACUAUAGCUUUACACUGAACGUUGAGUUCGUCUGUGUAGGAUAGGUGGGAGGCUAUGAAACUGUGGCGCUAGCUGCAGUGGAGCCAUCCUUGAAAUACCACCCUGUCGUGCUUGACGUUCUAACCUAGAUCCGUUAUCCGGAUCAGGGACCGUGUAUGGUGGGUAGUUUGACUGGGGCGGUCUCCUCCUAAAGAGUAACGGAGGAGCACGAAGGUACGCUCAGCGCGGUCGGACAUCGCGCACUGUGUGCAAAGGCAUAAGCGUGCUUGACUGCAAGAUCGACGGAUCAAGCAGGUACGAAAGUAGGUCUUAGUGAUCCGGUGGUUCUGUAUGGAAGGGCCAUCGCUCAACGGAUAAAAGGUACUCCGGGGAUAACAGGCUGAUACCGCCCAAGAGUUCAUAUCGACGGCGGUGUUUGGCACCUCGAUGUCGGCUCAUCACAUCCUGGGGCUGUAGUCGGUCCCAAGGGUAUGGCUGUUCGCCAUUUAAAGUGGUACGCGAGCUGGGUUCAGAACGUCGUGAGACAGUUCGGUCCCUAUCUGCCAUGGGCGUUGGAAGUUUGAGAGGGGCUGCUCCUAGUACGAGAGGACCGGAGUGGACGAACCUCUGGUGUUCCGGUUGUCACGCCAGUGGCAUUGCCGGGUAGCUAUGUUCGGAAGCGAUAACCGCUGAAAGCAUCUAAGCGGGAAGCGCGCCUCAAGAUGAGACUUCCCGGGGCACAAGCCCCCUAAAGGAACCAUAUAGACUAUGUGGUUGAUAGGUCAGGUGUGUAAGUACAGCAAUGUAUUGAGCUAACUGAUACUAAUGAUCCGUGCGGCUUGACCAUAUAACCU
rnacentral:rRNA from 2 species